CCACUUGACGAAGAAGAUCUUGUGGCAUACAUCAUCGCUGGGCUUGAUGCUAACUUCGAGCCGGUGGUGUCUGCGGUUGCGGCACGUGCAGAGCCGAUAACCGUAGCUGAGCUAUACGGCCAGAUGCUAGGGUUUGAAG